rnacentral:rRNA from 1 species
AUUCCAGCUCCAAUAGCGUAUAUUAAUGUUGUUGCAGUUAAAAAGCUCGUAGUUGGAUUUCUGAUGGGAUCGACCCGGUCGGCUCCGAAAGGGGUCGCACUGGUGGUCUGUCCGGUCAUCCUCGAGGGGAGGCUUUCUGGCAUUCAUUUGUUGGGGAGUCGACGCUCGUCGUUUACUGUGAACAAAUUAGAGUGUUCAAAGCAGGCUUAGGCCGUUGAAUACAUUAGCAUGGAAUAAUAAGAUAGGACUUUGGUGGUUUAUUUUGUUGGUUUGCACGCCGAAGUAAUGAUUAAUAGGAGCAGUUGGGGAUGUCCGUAUUCGAUUGUCAGAGGUGAAAUUCUUGGAUUUAUUGAAGACGAACUACUGCGAAAGCAUUCACCAAGGAUGUUUUCAUUA